UCGCCGCUGUCUCGGCGCCCUCCCUCCGCAGCUUGACCCGGUAGUGAAGGCUGAGAGAGAGGCAGGCUGGGUCCGCCUGGCAGCCUACGAGAGGAGGCGGGAGCCGGGAAGGAGGGGAGCCCGGGCCUGGCGUGGGGAGGCCGGCAGGAAGGCUGCUGGCCCAGCGCAGACCUUUCUUCAGCCUCCAAGCGGUCGGGAGAUGCGCUGGGCGGUGGCACCCAGAAGACUUCCCUGUUCUCUCAGACGUGGGCUUGCAGCAGAAAUACCGGGACCUGGACUUGGGGCGCACCCACGCGCCUGGUGCUACCGCCAGGGUUCUGAGAGCCUCUCGGAGAGAUUCUGCCGUGAGAAAAAGCGGGCCGGGGGCCGCGUGGGAGUGAAGGUACCCGAUCAUUGAAUUGCCGGAGAAAGCCGGGACGCUGGGAGCCAGGGUGUAGGCGUUGGAGUUCAGAAAGGGGUCCUCCCCUCCUGUUUACUGUGAAGCUUGGCGCAGAGUUCGCAGAAUCCCCCUCAGAGCAGCGGGAAGUUGGAGGCUGUGCGCCCUGACGGCGGGAGCGGGUGGCGGCCCCACCUUCCCCUGUGGGUUCACGGGCCGCAAACGGGGACUUAGGGACGGACUUGAGUUUUGACUAGGCUCAACUUUCCUUGUGAAAGCCGAGGAAGAAAGAGGUCCCUGGAAUGGGGGUGUGGUGCGCGCGAAAGGUGGCGAUCAGUGGUCUCCUCGGAGAAAAGCAGAGUUUAACCCUGGAACUGCGGGGCACCGCCUUGCCUCGGAGGCUUGCACCUGGAGAACUUUAAGCUGACCUCACCCGACUUUAUGGGCUCCUGAGAACAAAAAAGGGCCCUGCGGCCGAGCGCCACGCGCUGUCGGGGCUGGAACUCCACUGGCUGCUACCCGGACUCUUCUCACCGUCAAGUCUGCGGCUGGAAGGAAAGCCUAGAGCACAACUGAAGAGGAAGAACUCAUCUUGCCCACACACUUUGAUUAACGUGGAGAUAAAGGCUUUCCCGUACAGGUGAUGGAGCAAAAUGACAGAAGAGGCUUAGACCCCCUUUCUUCAGACUUCUUGUUGUAUAAGGAAAAUAAAAAUGCAAUUACAAGAU